rnacentral:lncRNA from 1 species
UUUUUUUUUUGGGUCUUUUCUAGGGCCGCACCCUCAGCAUAUGGAGGUUCCCAGGUUAGGGGUCUAAUUGGAGCUGUAGCUGCCGGCCUACAACAGGGCCACAGCAACGUGGGAUCCGAGCCAUAUCUUCGACCUACACCACAACUCACGGCAACGCCGGAUCCUAAACCCACUGAUCGAGGCCAGGGAUCAAACCCACAACUUCAAGGUUCCUAGUCAGAUUCGUUAACCACUGUACCAUGAGGGGAACUCCCUCAAACACUCUUAAAAUGAGAAGAAACUAUAUAGAAAACCCCCCAAAAGCAUAUUAUAAAGUGUCAUAAAUCAGUUUCUAAUACCACCCACAACUUUUCGUGGACUUUAUUCUCUCUCUUUAUAGGCAAAAGGCUCAGUUUCACUCCAUUUUCUUGUAUGUAUUUAUGGACCAGUACUGAACCAAAGUUGGUGCUCUCCUGGGCCUUUGUAUACAUCAUGAAAACAGAGCAUUCUUCUCCUCAUCUUUUAUACCUACUUAUCUGCUGUAUUAGUUUCCUGUGGUUGCUGUAACGAUUGACCACAAACUGGGUGGCUUAAAACAUCGGAAGUGUAUUCUUUUAUAGUUGCAGAAGCUUAAAGUCUGAAAUCAGUAUCAUUGAGCUGGAAUCUACUCUUGUGAGGCUCUGGGGCAGUUUCCACUCAGAUGAACCCUCUUGUAUGCCUAACCUAUAAACAUGGUGAGAUCAGAAAUGUCUGUGGUUGGAAGUUCCCUUUGUGGCCCAGCAAUUAAUGAUCCUCACUAGGAUCCAUGAAGAUGUGGAUCCUUAACCCACUGAACAAGGCCAGGGAUCGAACCCGAGUCCUCAUCGAUGCUAGUCAGGUCCAUUAACUGCUGAGCCACAACAGGAACUCUGAUGUGUUUUGAUAGAACAAAAAAAAAAAAAAUUCAAAUAAGAUGACAGUAGGAGUGUGUAAACACAAAUGCCUCUGGAAUGACUUAGGCAUCGAUCUUAGUAUUUUCUUCCAGUAGCAUUCUCUUCUCAGAUGUGGAAGGAUCCUGCAUUUUUAGAAUCUACUGCCAGAGUUCCCAACACGCUGGUCAGUCUCAAGACUCAAGCAUGACUCAGGGACGGCUUUGAAAGAAAUGCCUAGUAACUAGAUUAGAAAAUAACUAGGUUUAGGAGUUCCUGCUUAUGCUGUCUGUGGCACUGGGAUACAGUUUCUACACCCUGCACAGUGGGUUAAAGAUCCAUCAUUGCGGCGACUUUGGCUGGGAUUUGAACCCUGGUCCUGGAACUCCAUAUGCCAUGGGGUGGCCAAAAAAUAAAAUAGGUUUAAAGGAAUUCCCUGGUGACCUACCAGUUUGGGACUAGACGUUGUCGCUGUUGUGGCUCAGGUUUGAUUCCUUGCCUAGGAACUGCAUACCAUCAGCAUGGCCAAAAAAAAAAAAAAGUUUAAUAAACAAUUAGGAAGCUUUCUUUAAAAUUCUGAAGCACUAUUGGGAGUUCCCGUCGUGGCUCAGCAGUUAACAAACCUGACUGAUUAGUAUCCUGACUAGUAUCUAGGGACUUGGGUUCAAUCCCUGGCGUUGCUCAGUGGGUUAGGGAUCUGGCUUUGCUGUGGGCUGUGGUGUAGUUUGCAGGCUCAGCUCUGAUUCUGCGUUGCUGUGGCUGUGGUGUAGGCUGGCAGCUACAGCUCCAAUUCGACCUCUAGCCUGGGAACUUCCAUAUGGCACGGGUGUGGUCCUAAAGAGACAAAAAUAAAUAAAUAAAUAAAAUUAUCAAGCAUGCUGUGGCACAGUGAGUUAAGGAUCUGACUGCAGUGGCUCAGGUCACUGCAGAGGCAUGGUUUCAAUCCCUGGCCUGGGAAUGUCUAUAUGCCACGGGCAUGGCCAAAAAAAAAUUAUGAAGCAUCAUUAAAAUUAAAAAAAUUUUUUUUGGCAGUGCCCAUGGCAUGUGAAAGUUCCCAGACUAAAGAAUGAACUCAAACCACUGCAGUGACAAUGCUGGAUCCUUAACCCACUCUGCCACAAGAUAAUUCCCAAAAUUAAUGCAUUUAAAGCAUUCUUUUUAGGAGUUCCCAUUGUGGUUCUUUGGCAACGAACCCAGCUGGUAUCCAUGAGGACUCAGGUUAAAUCCCUGGCCUUGCUCAGUGGGUUAAAGAAUUGGCAUUGCUGUGAGCUGUGGUGUAAGUCACUGAUGCACCUCGGAUCUUAAGUUGCUAUGGCUGUGGCCAGCAACUACAGCUCCAAUUUGCCCACUAGCCUGGGAACUUCCAUAUGCUGCACCUGCAGCCCUAAACAAA